ACGCUCGACACCUACGAGGCAGCAGUCGGGAAUAUUGCGCAAUGGAGGAAACUCUGACGCAGUGACGCCGCGUAUAGGAAGAAGGUUUUCGGAUUGUAAACUAUUGUCGUUAGGGAAGAGAAAGGACAGUACCUAAGGAGGAAGCUCCGGCUAACUACGUGCCAGCAGCCGCGGUAAUCUGAGCGGGCUGGCAAGGC
rnacentral:rRNA from 1 species